rnacentral:rRNA from 1 species
GACGAACCGAGCGAACGUUGUUCGGAAUCACUGGGCUUAAAGGGCGCGUAGGCGGGUUGCCGCGUCCGGGGUGAAAUCCCACGGCUCAACCGUGGGACGGCCCCGGAUACGGGCGGCCUGGAGGGGGGUAGGGGCGGGCGGAACUCUGCGUGGAGCGGUGAAAUGCGUUGAUAUGCAGAGGAACUCCGGUGGCGAAGGCGGCCCGCUGGACCCCAUCUGACGCUGAGGCGCGAAAGCCAGGGGAGCGAACGGG